rnacentral:rRNA from 1 species
CCCCGGUAAACGGCGGCCGUAACUAUAACGGUCCUAAGGUAGCGAAAUUCCUUGUCGGGUAAGUUCCGACCUGCACGAAUGGCGUAAUGAUGGCCAGGCUGUCUCCACCCGAGACUCAGUGAAAUUGAACUCGCUGUGAAGAUGCAGUGUACCCGCGGCAAGACGGAAAGACCCCGUGAACCUUUACUAUAGCUUGACACUGAACAUUGAGCCUUGAUGUGUAGGAUAGGUGGGAGGCUUUGAAGUGUGGACGCCAGUCUGCAUGGAGCCGACCUUGAAAUACCACCCUUUAAUGUUUGAUGUUCUAACGUGGACCCGUAAUCCGGGUUGCGGACAGUGUCUGGUGGGUAGUUUGACUGGGGCGGUCUCCUCCUAAAGAGUAACGGAGGAGCACGAAGGUUGGCUAAUCCUGGUCGGACAUCAGGAGGUUAGUGCAAUGGCAUAAGCCAGCUUGACUGCGAGCGUGACGGCGCGAGCAGGUGCGAAAGCAGGUCAUAGUGAUCCGGUGGUUCUGAAUGGAAGGGCCAUCGCUCAACGGAUAAAAGGUACUCCGGGGAUAACAGGCUGAUACCGCCCAAGAGUUCAUAUCGACGGCGGUGUUUGGCACCUCGAUGUCGGCUCAUCACAUCCUGGGGCUGAAGUAGGUCCCAAGGGUAUGGCUGUUCGCCAUUUAAAGUGGUACGCGAGCUGGGUUUAGAACGUCGUGAGACAGUUCGGUCCCUAUCUGCCGUGGGCGCUGGAGAACU